AUUGAACGCUGGCGGCAGGCCUAACACAUGCAAGUCGAGCGGAGCGGCGGACGGGUGAGUAAUGCCUAGGAAUCUGCCUGGUAGUGGGGGAUAACGUCCGGAAACGGGCGCUAAUACCGCAUACUAUCAGAUGAGCCUAUGUCGUGUUAGCUCGUUGGUGGGGUAAAGGCCUACCAAGGUGACGAUCCGUAACUGGUCUGAGAGGAUGAUCAGUCACACUGGAACUGAGACAAGGUCUAGACUCAUAAGGGAGGUAGCAGUGGGGAAUAUUGGACAAUGGGAGAAAGCCUGAUCCAGCCAUGCAGCGUGUGUGAAGAAGGUCUGCGGAUUGUAAAGCACUUUAAGUUGGGAGGCGUUAUCAACAGAAUAAGCACCGGCUAACUUCGUGCCAGCCGCCGCGGUAAUAC
rnacentral:rRNA from 1 species